GAUGAACGCUGGCAGCGUGCCUAACACAUGCAAGUCGAGCGAUUCUCUUCGGAGAAGAGCGGCGGACGGGUGAGUAACGCGUGGGUAACCUGCCCUGUACACACGGAUAACAUACCGAAAGGUAUGCUAAUACGGGAUAACAUAAGAAAUUCGCAUGUUUUUCUUAUCAAAGCUCCGGCGGUACAGGAUGGACCCGCGUCUGAUUAGCUAGUUGGUGAGGUAAUGGCUCACCAAGGCGACGAUCAGUAGCCGACCUGAGAGGGUGAUCGGCCACAUUGGAACUGAGACACGGUCCAAACUCCUACGGGAGGCAGCAGUGGGGAAUAUUGCACAAUGGGCGAAAGCCUGAUGCAGCAACGCCGCGUGAGCGAUGAAGGCCUUCGGGUCGUAAAGCUCUGUCCUCAAGGAAGAUAAUGACGGUACUUGAGGAGGAAGCCCCGGCUAACUACGUGCCAGCAGCCGCGGUAA
rnacentral:rRNA from 1 species